rnacentral:rRNA from 1 species
AUAACCUUUAGCCAAACAAGCAUUAAAGGCAACGCCUGCCCAGUGAAUAUUAAACGGCCGCGGUACCCUAACCGUGCAAAGGUAGCAUAAUCAUUUGUCUACUAAUUAUAGACCUGUAUGAAAGGCAAAAUGAGGACCCAACUGUCUCUUAUAAUAAACCAAUUAAACUGAUCUCCUAGUAAAAAAGCUAGAAUAAUAACAUAAGACCAGAAGACCCUGUGAAACUUAAACUAACCCAUUAAAACAUAUAAUGGCUACUUUCGGUUGGGGCGACCUUGGAAAAAAAAAGAACUUCCAAACACACAACAUACACACUGGCCAACAAGCCAUAAACAGACCCAGCUACAGCUGAUAACUGAACCAAGCUACUCCAGGGAUAACAGCGCUAUCUUCUUCAAGAGCCCAUAUCAAAAAGAAGGUUUACGACCUCGAUGUUGGAUCAGGACACCCAAAUGGUGCAACCGCUAUUAAAGGUUCGUUUGUUCAACGAUUAAUGUCCUACGUGAUCUGA